UACGGAGAGUGCAAGCGUUAUCCGGAUUCACUGGGUUUAAAGGGUGCGUAGGCGGGUAAGUAAGUCCGUGGUGAAAUCUCUGAGCUUAACUCAGAAACUGCCGUGGAUACUAUUUGCCUUGAAUAUUGUGGAGGUGAGCGGAAUAUGUCAUGUAGCGGUGAAAUGCUUAGAUAUGACAUAGAACACCAAUUGCGAAGGCAGCUCACUACACAAUCAUUGACGCUGAGGCACGAAAGCGUGGGGAGCGAACAGG
rnacentral:rRNA from 1 species